UACGUAGGGGGCAAGCGUUGUCCGGAUUUAUUGGGCGUAAAGAGCGUGUAGGCGGCCGCACAGGUCCGUUGUGAAAACUGGAGGCUUAACCUUCAGACGUCGAUGGAAACCGUGCGGCUAGAGUCCGGAAGAGGAGAGUGGAAUUCCUGGUGUAGCGGUGAAAUGCGCAGAUAUCAGGAAGAACACCCGUGGCGAAGGCGGUUCUCUGGGCCUGUACUGACGCUGAGGAACGAAAGCGUGGGGAGCGAACAGG
rnacentral:rRNA from 1 species